rnacentral:rRNA from 1 species
AUGUGCCAAUUGGAGAAAGUAUUUCCUCCUGCCUUUUUUGACAUCAUGGAACACUUGACCAUUCAUCUUGCAACUGAAGUACGGAUUGCUGGACCGGUGCAUUACCGAAGCAUGUGGGUUGUUGAGAGGUUUUUGGGCAAGUUGAAGAGUAUGAUCCAUACGCUAAGUCACCCAGAGGGAUCAAUAGCAGAGGGAUAUGUUUUGGAUGAUACUCUUACAUUUUGCUCACGAUAUUUGCAUGGUUGUCCAACCAUAUUCACUCAAACAGGACGACAUAAUGAUUUUAUUGGCCCCAAUGACUCGACAAACCAUCAGCCAUACUUGAGAAUAGUCGGUCGUCCUUUAUUUGGUCCUUGUGUUGAAGAACAAGACUACACGUCAUGGAUCCAAGCUCAAAGAUAUGUGUUGGUCAAUUACCCCCACAUUGCUCCAUAUGUCCAACAACAUCAUGAUAUUCUAUCAGCGGGUCGACGCAAAAGAAUACGUGAUGUAGAACGCUCCCAUCACAGUAGUUUCCACACUUGGUUUGCUGACCAUGUUCAAUCAUUGAUUUCCAAUAAUGUUAAGAUCCCUGAAGAAGUUAAAGUCUUAGCACAAAAGCCAUAUCGGAUGGUGAAAAAGUACAAUGCUUACUCUUUAGAUGGAUGCACUUUCCACACAAGGGGAUAUGGUGACGGAAAAGAAGCACAAUGUGAUGGAGUAUCUAUGAUUGCAAAGACAUCUAGUUUCUCAAGUGCUAAAGAUAAGAAUCCAGCAUUAGGAGAUAUUGUUUAUUAUUGCCGAAUCACUGAAAUAGUUGAGAUGAAUUAUUCAAACAAAGGUAGCGUGGAUUUUUUCAAGUGUGAUUGGGUUGACAGUGUUCGCCCUGAUGCUGGGGUUCGAAAGGACCCAUAUGGAAUAAUUGAGGUGAAUUUUAACCAUUUGCUAAGCAGUGGCAGCGACAUGUUUGAUGAGCCAUUUAUCCUCGUAACUCAUGCCACGCAAGUAUAUUAUGUACAAGAUUCUAUAGAGAAGGAAUGGUACAUUGUGGUUCAUCCACCUACAAGAGACUUCUUUGAUAUGGAUGCUAGAAUUGAUGGGCAUGAAGAAUAUUAG